GCUCCGUUGGUGAACCAGCGGAGGGAUCAUUACAGGACUCGCAAGACUCCUUCACCCUGUGAACCUCACUACAAGCACGUUGCUUCGGCGGGUGUCCCGGCGGGGGUUUUCCCUCGCCGGGGCGCACAGCCCGCCGGCAGCCUACUAUACUCUGUCUCUUUGCGUUGGCAUCUCGAGAAAAAACAAACAGGUUAAAACUUUCAACAACGGAUCUCUUGGUUCUG
rnacentral:misc_RNA from 1 species